UACAGAGGGUGCGAGCGUUAAUCGGAAUUACUGGGCGUAAAGCGUGCGUAGACGGUUAUUUAAGUCAGAUGUGAAAGCCCCGGGCUCAACCUGGGAAUUGCAUUUGAGACUGAAUAGCUAGGGUGCGGUAGAGGGAAGCGGAAUUUCCGGUGUAGCGGCGAAAUGCGUAGAUAUCGGAAGGAACAUCAGUGGCGAAAGCGGCUUCCUGGACCAGCACCGACGUUCAGGCACGAAAGCGUGGGGAGCAAACAGG
rnacentral:rRNA from 1 species